UGAACAACUCUGUUUUGUUUACCUUUCAAUUUCAUUACAAGUCGUCUUUUUAAAGAAUUUAUUUUAUUCCACAAGUUUUUUAACAUGUUUUAAAAUUAUAUAAUAAAUUAAAUUCUUGUAAAGUAGUAUAAACAAAUUUAGUGCACGAGUUAUGGAACAAAUUGAUGAGGCCAAACGUAAACCCAGACGCACUAAAGGCACACCAUCUUACCACUAUAGAAAUCGUUUUGCGGCAGCUGGUAUUGCAGUGGGAAGUGCAAUAUUUGCCUUGUGGUAUUUCACUCCCAUUUUCCGUAUAGCGAAUGAAAAAUUAAUGCACGAUUUGAUAACCGCCUCUGAGGAAGAAAAGGAUCGUAAAAUUAUUUUCAAUUUAGUAGGCGCUCCUCGUACAUCGAGAGCUAUUAAAGAAACUAUAGAGGAGAAAAAUCAACUAUUGCAUGAACGUUAGAAUGGAUCGUCAAACCCGUAAAGCCAAUUUAAAGAAAUUGCAAUUACCCAGUACAUCGGGCACCAAGCAACCACGUAAAACACGCCAAACGGCCAAGACCUCGGGAAAUACUGCCAUUACCAAUUAUUUUUUAACACCCGAAAAAUGUUCGAAAGAUAAUGAAAAAGAAGAAACCACUGUCCCGCCUAAGGAUUCUGCAAUAGUAUUAGAUUUUAAUAAAGCCAAUGAAGAUCUACCACAAUCCUCUAAUACUUCAACAAAACCAGCAACACGCAAACGUGGCAAACGUACUAAAUUAGAUAAUUUUAUAUUCAAAGAUCCCAAUGACAUCCCUGAUCUGAUUAAAAAUCCUAAAACUCCUCUAAAU